UCAGAAAACUUCUUAUGAUGUCUUCUACAAGUCUUCUAUGAAGAAGACUUACAGAAGACUUUUCCGUUUAUCUAGAAACAUUAUUAAACAUCAAUGUUUGUAACUUCAUAAUUAUCACCAAUUAAGUUAUAAAUUCGACUAAGUAGUCUCAAUAUUGACUAAUAAACAUGAAUUAGCAAGAAGAUUUUAAAAAUUCAUUUUAAUUUUGGAUAAAUUUGAAGUUUAAUAAAGAUUUACGUAGAAGACUUCUUUUGAAGUCAACCACGAAAGACUUCAAAGGAAGUCUACUCUGUGUAGACUUCAAAAGAAGUCUUCUAUUUAGGUAAUUUUUGCAAUUGCAAAUUUACGAAGGAAGACUUCUUAAGAAGUCUAUUCUACAGAAGACAUCUUCGGAAAUAUUCCUUUGUAAAUAUUGGCUUACUUUUGAAAUUGAAUUUUUUUCGAAAUUCCCAGAGAAGUCUUCUCGGAUAAACAUGUUACUUUUGAAUUUGACCGAAGUUAGUCAGAAUUUUGACUUUUUAUAGAAGACUUCUAGGGAAGUCUACCUGGAGAAUACUUCAGAAGAAGUCUUCUCUAAGUCUUCCGGAAGUCUUCUCAAUGUCGCAAGAAGUCUGCUGGGUUACGUUUUGCAAUUGACUAUAUUUAACUUUUUGAGAGAAGACUUCUUUAGAAGUCUUCCGUCGGAUGACUUCUCUAGAAGUCUUCUCUCGCGGGCAAAGGUUUGACCAAAAACCUAGAAUUAAACUCGAGAAGGUCUUCUCAUUGAUAUUAAAUGUUUUACUAUUAUUUUUCAAUUGCAAAAGUAACCCACGCAGACAUCUUCCGGCAUUGAGAAGACUUAGGAAAGACUUUCAGAAGACUUUUGUAGAAGUUUUCUCCAGGAAGACUUCCUUAGAAGCCUUCUACAAAAAGUCAAAUUUCUAACCAACUUCGGUCAAAUUUAAAAGUAACAUGUUUAUCCAAGAAGACUUCUAAAGAAGUCUUCUCUGGGAAUUUCGAAAUUUUUUGUUUACAAAGGAAAGUCUUCUUCGCCGAACCGAUCUGAAAAAUAAAAUGUAGUUCGCGAUUUCAUACCUUGGACUCGUGAGAUAGACUUGCGUGGUUUCUCCAAUCACCCAGAACUUCACCACAAUAGCUACCUACUCGUUAAUCAUCAAGAAUCGUGAGCUUAUGAACCUUACAUAAUUUGUAAUCAAAAUCUUAAGUUUUUUUUAUGAAUUUUGAGAGAAAGUGUAAGAUAUGUAGUUUGUGUGGAUAGAAAAUGAGAAAGGAUGAGAAAAAAUCGAAACUUUAGGGCAUUAACACUCUCAAUUUGGUAGUUCAUGGUGGUUAAGGUAUUGAUGUCAAUGGCAAAAUUGUAAAUAUUUGGUGAAGAUGAAGAUGGUAAGGUAAAAGCCUUAUUUUCGAAAAAAAAUAAAAAAAAAUAAUGGCAUUUUGGUGAAUAACUAGAACUUCUAGGGUGAAUAGGACAAAACAAAGUUUCAAAAAAAAUAUAAGUUAUUUUUGUGUUUGACUUAAAAUUUUGAGUCAUUUUUGAAAGAACCCCAUCAAAAAUAUUAUCGUUAUCUUAAUUUUUAAGUUUUUUCUAAAUUCUUAUAAAUUUUUAUGUUUUAAUUUAAUUUAUUUUUAUUUUAACUAACUUAUUUAGGUAGAUAUUACAAACAAUAUGAAUUUUUAAUGAAAUCUUUUUAAUGUAGUUUUUUUUUUUAAUUUUGAAUUUGAGAAAUAAAUUUUAAUGUCGAACCAGGUCACUAGUUUUACUGAUUUUGGCAGUUUUUGAUCGGAUUUGCCGGUUUAAUUAAAUCUAGUUUUUAAUACAACCCGAAACUGGUUAAAAGAGCGAGCCACAGUCCAACUGUUUUGAUCGGCCAGUCCGGAAACACUAGCGUGCACCAAUUUAUUCAUAUUUGUAAUAACUAAACUUUUCAAUUAUUUAAUAUAUAUAUUUUUUAAUUAUAUCUUAGUAUGUAAAAGGAUGCAAAAUAAAUAAUAAUGCGUAAAAUAAUUUGAAUAUACAAUGUUUAUAACACGCAAGAGGGGAUGUAUUCGUGUAUGCGAAAGUGAUGGGCUCUGAUGUAUUUAUAUUCCUUUGUCUAUUUCAAAGAAAAAUAACUUAUGUGGUUAAAGGUUAUGGUUUUACUAAAUGGAUUUCAUCAUUCCAUAAGCAUGUUAAGUGAUAAGUACUUCAUCUGUUUAUUAAUAAUUUGAUUUUAUUUUGCAGGUGGGAACUCCUUGAUUGUCAACUCCUUCGCUCAGUUUUUUAAUUACAGUCCCGAGUGUCAUCAAGCUCUUGUUUUUAUGCGAGCCUUCCUUCAGCCUAACACCCUCUGCACCGUCUUCGCAGAGAAUUUUUAUAGUUAAGUUGAGUGGCUUAAUUUGGUAAAUAUUAAGGAGAAAGUUAGGGUUAAUUUUAACUUGUACUUCAGUUUUAAUAGAUUAGAUAAAAUAAAAAAACCGGUUUGAUCAAUUUUUUUUUGUUUACUUAUCACAUGGUUAUUAUGGGUAUGGCUAAAAAUAAACUAAUUAUUUGUUUUACUUGUCAUAAAACUAAUAAUUGUUAUGAUGGGUAAAAAAGGAAUAAAAAGCUGAUCAUCAGGACUGUCCCGUUUUUCUUAGGUGCAGUAUCUUCUCCGUCGUGAUUACUUGUAUAGUCAGUGAACAAGUUCCCACGGUUGCCACAUUGUCGAGGUUGACAUUGCUCCGCCGUAGAAUUCGCCGGACAGCAACCGGUAGGAAUACCUCUGCAGGAAAUAUAUAUUCAGACCUCCUGGGAGGUGGGAGCAUCAAGCUCGAUAAAUUACUAUCAAGCUAUCACCGCUUGAUUGAAUGAUGGCCACAAGCUACAACCGAUGUAUUACGUUUUAAGAUGAAAUUUUCAGAGCAUUGCAAAUGAAGAGGACCACGAGUAAUAAAUGAAAGAAAACAACGUAAAGAAAGAAAACUAAAUAUAAAGUCAUUUUCAUAAACAAUAAGAGGUGAAAGAGAAGGGGGUGGGGGAGAGAAAUAGAGGUCCCGGGAAGUGUCGGGGUGCGAGACGAAUGUUGUCCAAAGUUUAGGGGACAAAAGCCGAAAAUAAAAAGUGACGUGGAGACUCAUCAAAGUCUUUCUUCAGGCCGUUUUGCAUGGUCUUUUUAAAGGUUACGUUUGAGAUACAUGAAAUAAGUUUUAUUAAAUGUAAUUUUUCGCAUAUUGAAUGUAUUUCAGAAGUGCAUUUAAUGAUAUGAAUCUCUCAAAUCUCGAAGGGAAUGUUUUCUGGUCGUGUAUUGAUGCUAACAUGAGCUAUAAUUAAUAACACUGAUAAGACAUAUGUGUCUCCUAGUUUUAGAGAGGGUUUAUUAAUUACGGAUUUAUGAGACAGAAAGUUUUAUAGCUUUGAUCGUUCUUUUCUUCUCAGCAAAUAUCGAUAUAAUUAUCGGUUUACCAACCAAUUAGGAUAAUAAAGUUUACAACUUGUUGACAAGAAAAAAAGUUUACAACUUUACGUAGACAAAAUCACGUAAACAAAUCUUAUUUUUACGACUUAAUCAAUCAGCUUUUAAAUUUAAACAGCGUAGAAUGCAUAUAGGCGUAAAGAAAAAAAUACCUAAACCAGACUUUAAAGACAGAAAGAUCUUUAGUUUGUUGGCCAAAAAGAAAAAGAAAACAUCUUUAGUCUGUUACAUGAUUUUUGUUUUUGACUAAAUAUUUUCUAUUACAUAUUUGGAUGUUUUGAAACGAAUUAUCACACUGAACUAAGAGAAGAUAAUUAUUUAUCGUAAUACAGAUACAAAUAUAAAAUUUUAAAUUCUACUAUGAAGCAAUGUUCGGAAUUGCGCUAGCUAUAAUAACUAAUAAGUACCGUUGAUCUAAGCCUAGCCCAAAAUUAAUAAAUCGGAAAUUAAGCAUAAAUUAUUCAAAGAUUCUUUUGAUACUUUUAUCCAUAAACGCGUAUAUAAAUUUAAUAUGUGAAAAAUAUAUGUUGGGAAUGUGUGGUCUAGCGGUCUUUUUCCCUGGUUCUUAACCUUCAGAACUCUAGUAAGUAGUAACACCCUUAUUGCCAUUUUUUGGAUUAUGUUUAAUGAAAACAAUUUACGAUCUUAUCUUCUUCUUCUUCCGUUUUUAUGUGAUUUACAGAUCAAUAUAUCGCAUUUUUCAGAAAAUUUCAUGAUUUCACAAUUUUUACAAGUGACUCUUGUAAGUUUUAGUCAAAUAUAGUAUAAAAAAUUGAUCCAUUUCGGUUUAAUUAUCGUCGUAAAGUAAAAUUUUCGUUCCUGUGUAAAACUUAUUGACUUGUAUUCUAAUCUAUUUUUUAUUGGUUGAAAUGUGAUUAUGUAUAUUGAUAAUGAUAUUUUUAUUUAUUAAAUAUAUAAAAUUAAAUAUUUUCUUAAUCUGUGUACCAAAUCUAAAACGAUAAUUAAAAUGAAACAUAAAGAUAAUGAUCAUGCACUUCAAAUUAUGAUUUUCCAAGCCUGUUCAUUUAACUAGAUAUAAAUGACAUUUUAAAGUCAUGCAUAUAAAUUAAUAAAAUAUUUUCUUAAAAUUUUCAAAACAAAAAUAUCAAUACGUAUUUACCUAACCACGAAUCAACCAAUAACUAAAUAAAAUGCAUAAUAUGAAUAGUUUAUAUAGCAAAAGGAAAAUUAGUAUAUUUUACAAUGAAAAUUAAAGACGUCAUCUAAUUUGGAACAAAGUUUUUUUUUCUGAAACAUCAAAUAUUAGAAAAUGGAGAAAAUAUACUUUGGGUGAAAAUGAAAGA